UACGUAGGGGGCAAGCGUUGUCCGGAAUUAUUGGGCGUAAAGAGCGUGUAGGCGGUCCGGUAAGUCAGCUGUGAAAGUCAAGGGCUCAACCCUUGAAUGCCGGUGGAUACUGUCGGGCUAGAGUGCGGAAGAGGCGAGUGGAAUUCCUGGUGUAGCGGUGAAAUGCGCAGAUAUCAGGAGGAACACCUAUUGCGAAGGCAGCUCGCUGGGACGGUACUGACGCUGAGACGCGAAAGCGUGGGGAGCGAACAGG
rnacentral:rRNA from 1 species